GAACCUCAGACAUCCCAGGCCAGACUGGAAUUUGAAGAUGCUCUGCUUUCACUGGAACUAGAGUUUUCCAGAGUCCCUUCUCAUGGAUCUUUGAAAAGAAAUGUCUGGUCAUAAGCUGGCUGCUGCAUCACCAAUCAUCACCUCUGCAAUCCAAUAAGGAAGAAUGAGAAGAGGGAGGGGAUGGUGCCUGAAACAACAAAGCACAACUAUCUUCUAGAUAUCUACAUGCAAAAAAAUGAAGUUGGUCCCUUACUUCACACCAUACCCAAAAACUAACUUAAAAUCAAUCAAAGACCUAAAGGGCCCAAACCCGCUCUAGUCUCUUGGAAUACUUGCUCUUGGGAUGCUUCCUCUGAGACUUAGCUACCAUACUGAGGGAAGUCAUGGAGAGGUACUCCAGUCUACAGCUACUCCAGACUCCAGGCUACAGCUGGGUGCUCAGCGACAGUCGGCAUCAACUGCCAGCCAUGUAAGUGAGCCAUGUCGGAUGUCCAGCACAGACAAGCCGCUGGAAGACCACGGUCUCAGACAAUAUCCAACAGCACCUGUGUGAGAGACCCUAUGCAAGAACUGUCCAGAUGAAACUUGUCAAGCCACAGAACUGUGAUAGAUAAUAAGAAAUCAUUGACUGAAGCCACUACAUUUUGGAGUGGUUUUUUGUGCAGAAAUAAGUCACUGGAAGAAUCCCUAUGAUUAGGAUUUGGUCCUGAUUUAUCCCUUUUAGUUCUUUGCUGCUGGAUCUAGAGAAAGUCUCUGAAACUGCUUGUUUAAUGUCUAGAAAUUUUCUGAUUUGUAACUAGUCCCAUCUACUUCCCUGUCCCACACUCUUCCUCCCCCCACAGCUGAAACCACUGGACAUACACUAUAGCUCAACCUACUGUAUGUUCUGAAACCAAAUCAUCUUUCUGGACCUCUUAAAUCUGAACUCCUAGUCUUGUUGGCUCUCUAUCAACAAAGCUUCUCCCAGUGGUUCUCAACCCUGACUGCACAUUGGGAUCCUUUGGGAAGUAUUAAAAAAUACAUGGUUUCUGGCUCCCACCCCCAGAGAUCCUCAUCUAGUUGGUCUAGCACAU